UACGUAGGGUGCAAGCGUUGUCCGGAAUUAUUGGGCGUAAAGAGCUCGUAGGCGGUUUGUCGCGUCGAAUGUGAAAUCCCGGGGCUCAACCCCGGGUCUGCGUUCGAUACGGGCAGACUAGAGUUCGGUAGGGGAGUCUGGAAUUCCUGGUGUAGCGGUGAAAUGCGCAGAUAUCAGGAGGAACACCGGUGGCGAAGGCGGGACUCUGGGCCGAUACUGACGCUGAGGAGCGAAAGCGUGGGGAGCAAACAGG
rnacentral:rRNA from 1 species